rnacentral:tRNA from 1 species
GGUAAAAUGGCUGAGCAGAAAGCAUUAGACUGUAAAUCUAAGCACAGAGGUAUUUCCCCCUCUUUUUACCA